rnacentral:rRNA from 1 species
UACGUAUGGUGCAAGCGUUAUCCGGAUUUACUGGGUGUAAAGGGAGCGCAGGCGGCACGGCAAGCCUAAUGUGAAAGCCCGCGGCCCAACCGCGGGACUGCAUUGGGAACUACCGGGCUGGAGUGCCGGAGAGGUAGGCGGAAUUCCUAGUGUAGCGGUGAAAUGCGUAGAUAUUAGGAGGAACACCAGUGGCGAAGGCGGCCUACUGGACGGUGACUGACGCUGAGGCUCGAAAGCGUGGGGAGCAAACAGG